rnacentral:rRNA from 1 species
UACGUAGGGUGCAAGCGUUAUCGGAAUUAGCUGGCGUAAAGCGUGCGCAGGCGGUUUGGUAAGACCAGAUGUGAAAUCCCCGGGCUCAACCUGGGAAUUGCAUUUGUGACUGCCCGACUAGAGUGUGUCAGAGGGGGGUAGAAUUCCACGUGUAGCAGUGAAAUGCGUAGAGAUAUGGAGGAAUACCGAUGGCGAAGGCAGCCCCCUGGGAUAACACUGACGCUACAU